rnacentral:tRNA from 1 species
UGGCUCAGUUGGUAGAGCAUGGUGUUUGCAAUGCCAGGGUUGUGGGUUCAAUUCACAU